rnacentral:rRNA from 1 species
CCUACGGGUGGCAGCAGUGGGGAAUAUUGGACAAUGGGCGAAAGCCUGAUCCAGCCAUGCCGCGUGUGUGAAGAAGGCCUUCGGGUUGUAAAGCACUUUCAGUGGGGAAGAAAGCCUUGGGGCUAAUACCCUCGAGGAAGGACAUCACCCACAGAAGAAGCACCGGCUAACUUCGUGCCAGCAGCCGCGGUAAUACGGAGGGUGCGAGCGUUAAUCGGAAUUACUGGGCGUAAAGCGCGCGUAGGCGGUCUGAUAAGCCGGUUGUGAAAGCCCCGGGCUCAACCUGGGAACGGCAUCCGGAACUGUCAGGCUAGAGUGCAGGAGAGGAAGGUAGAAUUCCCGGUGUAGCGGUGAAAUGCGUAGAGAUCGGGAGGAAUACCAGUGGCGAAGGCGGCCUUCUGGACUGACACUGACGCUGAGGUGCGAAAGCGUGGGUAGCAAACAGGAUUAGAUACCCCAGUAGUC